rnacentral:misc_RNA from 1 species
UUGAACACCCUGUACAUGGAAAUCAAGAUGACAGCAUACAGUUACUGAAGUGAAAAGAAAAUGAAGAAUAUCUGAAUGCCAAAUGGUGUUGAAAUUAUUAACCUACCAGCAAAAGUAAUGACAGUUGAAGAUGUGUGCAAAAAAGAUGAAUGAAAAUCUAUUAAAAACCACAUUUGAGGAUCUACAAAAGCAAUGAUUGCAAGGAAAAAGGUAA